GGCUCCACGAGGACGAAGAAGGCGUCCCUCCUACCACUCUCCGCGAGAUUUCCCUCUUGCGGAUGCUCUCUAGGGAUCCUCAUAUCGUCAGAUUGCUGGGUACACCAAAUGAACAAGUCUGGCCAGGAGUGAGCAAGCUGGUGAAUUGGCAUGAGUAUCCACAAUGAAAAUGGCCUUAACUUGCUAGCUGAAAUGUUGCAUUAUGAACCAUCAAGAAGGAUUUCAGCAAAGAAAGCCAUGGAACAUUCUUAUUUUGACGAUUUAGACAAAUCGUAUCUUUAAACAGCAAUCCGGCUGGGUUGUUUUAUGAUUGUAGUGAGCAAGUUUAUCUUGACUUUAGGAUAACAGAGUUCAAGAACCCUCAAAUUGCUUGCCUUAAGCAUAUUACAUUUUUCUUUAAUUUCUUGAAUGAAUAUUGUACUGCUAUUGGGUUUGGUAGGUGCACUGAAAAUGUAAGGCUGCCAUUUAAGGGCAUAUUAAGUAGUGAUUAUUCCUUCUACAGAGGGUUGGGCUUCCCCUAGUAAAUAGUCUACAUUUUGGACCAAGCUCAUAUUAUAUAUGCUGAUUUUGAGAUGUGGUGCAAUUGCUUUUCUUUUUUUGCUGGUUAACUUUUUGAAUUUUAAUGUUUAAGGAUGUCAAAUAGAAUGUAAAUGGAGAUGUUAAUAUUGGACACUCCGAGGACUCGACUCUGAAGAAUCUUUUGACUCCUUUUGAGGUUAACAAGAUGAAUUUUCCUCAUCUUUAUUUAUGUUGAAGGUCAAUACAACUAUUUUUGUUUGUCUGUCCUUUUUCUCCUAUCCUCUUUUCUCCUAUCCUCUCAUUCUGUGUUUAAUGUUCUUCUGGUGUAUGCAUGGAUUGUGAAUGGUUUCAUAAUAGUAUUUUUCUGUAAGUUACGUUUUUCUGUUUUUAUAGCCCAUUUUAUUGGAUGAAAUUAAUAUUCAAGUGGCCUUCGGCACCUCUUUCUUUCAGGCUUUUUUCCACAGAAGACAUGUGAGAAAAGUCUGGAGCAGCUUUUGCAUCUGAAUGCAUCUUUACCUGUAACAAGUGCCAGGAUGGUAAGCAUGUGAAAAACAAUGCCAAGGGGAAGUCUGUUAUUGAGGACAGUGUGUCCAAGAACGAAGAAAAGGGGUAAAGUUACAGUUGUUGUACCUCUUCGACGUUCUGCUAGGAGAGCUAAAAUUGUGCAGGUGCAAGAGAAAAAUGCUAACAAGAAAGUUGGGCGGCCAAGGCGAAAAAAAUGAAAUCAAGAAAAAAGGUCUAUCCUGGUCUCCUGCUGUCACAGAAGCCUAAUGAUGAACGAGUAGCACUCUUUAGGAGAAAUCUUCUUGUUCUUUCUGGCGAGUUAGAUGCCACAAUUGAUUCACCAAAAUGUAGUCUUUGUAGUGAGCUAGAAUCUACACCUACAGUGAAUUACAUUGCUUGUGAACUGUGUGGAGGUAUGGUAGUUCCUUUCUUUAUUUCAAGUUUGUAAGGAAGUGUAACUUUUGAAAACUGUGUGGCCUGUGUAUUAUGCAAGAACCAACCAUGGAAUAUGUUUGCUAGUAUUUAAUGGACUUAUAUGUGUGUCGUAGCAAGAGUGCUCCUGUUUGUGCUAGUACACCUAUGAUCAGAAGUGGGGAGGCUAAACUGGCUGAGUUGAAGAGUGAUGAUGGGAUUGAAUGUGCAGGGUUUCAUUUGGUCCAAGCGCAUAUUCAUCAGGAAGGGAAGCAGUAGGCAAUGUUCAUACUUUGGCAGCAAGUGGAUAAAGAAAAAGCAUCAGGAAGGGAAGCAGAAAAGAAAUAAUUUUUCAUUUUGUUUUAUUCUUCAUCUUUGGCAUAUUCCAUUGCAUUAUUUUUGAAAA